CACGCCGUAAACGAUGUCAACUAGAUGUAGGGGGUGUUGAUCCCCUCUGUGUCGCAGCUAACGCAUUAAGUUGACCGCCUGGGGAGUACGGUCGCAAGAUUAAAACUCAAAGGAAUUGACGGGGGCCCGCACAAGCGGUGGAGUAUGUGGUUUAAUUCGAUGCAACGCGAAGAACCUUACCUGGUCUUGACAUCCCGGGAAUCCUUUGGAAACUUAGGAGUGCCUUCAUUAGAAGGAGCCCGGAGACAGGUGC
rnacentral:rRNA from 1 species